rnacentral:lncRNA from 1 species
UCUACUUUGGGUUAGUUUUACUUGGCUAUUGCACAUUAACUGCGGCCAAUACAGUUAACUUAGUUGCAUCAAUGAUGCUAUUUCCAAGAUUUCCUCAUAAAUACAUGAACACUUGUUUAGCUGGAGAAGGAUCUGUGGGAAAUUUGGGAAAUUUAUUGAAUGUAAUUUCCAUAUCAAUCUUUAAAGAUGACGUCACAAACUCAACUUUGCUCUAUUUUAUUAUUGGCACUGCCAUU